rnacentral:lncRNA from 1 species
GAAAAUGAAGAAACAAAGGAAGAAAGAUCUCAUAGAAAAGAAAGAACAUAGUUCUUUUGUUCUUAUGUUUGUAAUUCUAGAAUUACUAUAAUGAAAGUUUAAGUUCUUCAUUCUCUCCACCACUUAUACUAUUAUUUUUCAAGUUUUUGCAGAGUUAGUUUUGUGUUUUGGAAAUAUAUUAGGUACCUCUUCUAUUUUUCAAUAUGGUAUAAGAGCUCCAAUGGUCUUAGAGGGCACGUGACUUUCCUUUUUGGUGUUUGAGAGAAAAAUUAUUUUUAUAAAAGAGGGGGGAAAGAAAAGAAAAUUUUAUUAUGUAAAUAAGUUGCGUUUUCAGCAUAAUUUUCCUCAUUAUUCAUUAAAUGUUUUCAGUAAAAGCUUCCUUUUUUAAGCCUCUUUACAUGCUACAUAUGUUAUCCAUGUUUCUUGUGAUGCGAUUGUUGUCCCUAAAGCAACGCACGCUUAGGAAGUGAUUUGGAGCAAAUUCCAGAAAUGUUUCCAAACAUGGAAGAUGGUGUCAAAUUGCAAAGAAAUGGUGUCAAUAAUGAUUCUAGAGCUGUCCAAGACAUUUCCAAGCAAACCAAGUUAGAUUUUGGAUGGUGUUCCAGAUAUAGAAGUUUUAUCAGGUCCAAUCACAAGAUCGCGAGCCAAGCAUCAAAGAGAGCAACUUCAUUUGGUGUUUGAGAGAAAAAAAUUUUUGUAAAAGAGGGAGGAAAGAAAAGAAAUUUUCAUUAUAUAAAUGAGUUGCGUUUUCAGCAUAACAUUUCCUCAUUAUUCAUUAAAUGUUUUCAGCAAAGCUUCCUUCUUUUAAGCUUCCUUACCUCCUGCAUAUGUUAUCCUUACUUGUUUACGUUAGGGAUCUCAGAAGGUCUAUAAAUUGCAAAAUCAACAUCUUUAUCAUGAGAUAUGCAAGUCUUUAAACUGAGAUGGUUGAAAAGGACCAGGAAGUCUUUAAACCAGUGAAGGGAACAUCAUGUCCAUAAAUUGAAAAUUUGUUUAGAGGGAUCUGAGCAUGUCUCUAACCUGUAAACUCUAUGAAAAUUUGAUGUUGAAAGGCUAUAAGUCUUCUUUUAUGGAAGUAAGGUGUUCAUUUCAUGAAGAGACUGGCAUUGUCUUAAAACUGCAAAAUUAUGGAGAGACAAGUAAGUCUAUCAACUACAAUGGAAAAGAAAAAAAAAAUUGUUAAAUGUUGAUUAAAGGUGGGGUUUUCUAUCCAGGAGGGUUACUGUCAAG